rnacentral:rRNA from 1 species
AUUGAACGCUGGCGGCAGGCCUAACACAUGCAAGUCGAAUGGUAACAGGAAACAGCUUGCUGUUUCGCUGACGAGUGGCGGACGGGUGAGUAAUGUCUGGGAAACUGCCUGAUGGCGGGGGAUAACUACUGGAAACGGUAGCUAAUACCGCAUAACGUCGCAAGACCAAAGAGGGGGACCUUCGGGCCUCUUGCCAUCGGAUGUGCCCAGAUGGGAUUAGCUAGUAGGUGGGGUAACGGCUCACCUAGGCGACGAUCCCUAGCUGGUCUGAGAGGAUGACCAGCCACACUGGAACUGAGACACGGUCCAGACUCCUACGGGAGGCAGCAGUGGGGAAUAUUGCACAAUGGGCGCAAGCCUGAUGCAGCCAUGCCGCGUGUAUGAAGAAGGCCUUCGGGUUGUAAAGUACUUUCAGCGGGGAGGAAGGGAGUAAAGUUAAUACCUUUGCUCAUUGACGUUACCCGCAGAAGAAGCACCGGCUAACUCCGUG